rnacentral:rRNA from 1 species
CCAGCAGCUGCGGUAAUUCCAGCUCCAGUAGCGUAUGUUCAAGUUGUUGCGGUUAAAAAGCUCGUAGUCGAUGUUGGGCGCUUGCUUGUUCCAUCUUGGGACAGGCUGGUGCCAUUGUCUUGCCGGGGCGUCUGUCCUGUGCGCUUCACCGCGUGGAGGAUGGAUCCGGUGAUUACUGUGAAAAAAUUUGAGUGUUCCAGACGGGCAAUUGCCUGAAGAGAUUAGCAUGGGAUAAUGGAAGAGGGGGAUACCUUGUUCUGUUGGUAGCGGGGUGUUUCAAUGGUUAAUAGGGACAGUUGGGGGCAUUAGUAUUUGAUUGUCAGAGGUGAAAUUCACGGAUUAAUUAAAGACUGGCGAGUGCGAAGGCAUCUGCCCAGGAUGUUUUCAUUGAUCAAG